GAAAAAAAAAUAAACUCAAAGUAGAAAUGUCUCCAUAUACUCUGUCCCAUUUCCAGGGUUGCUAUCUCAAGUCUAAUUGCAGAUCUAUCAGAAUAUGAGGCACACUUACUCAGUGCUGUCUGGAUAUCCUUUUCUCCAUUCUUCACUUCUGUCAAAAAUCCCUUUAGAAAUUUGAGACCUCUAAAAUUAAAGAGAGGAAAAAAUAUUAUUUUCAAAGUUCAUCUCAGUAUCUCAGGCAAGGUAGGGAGAGGGCAGGACAGACAGACAUCCUUCCUGACCAGCUUCCCUGCCAUUUCUAUUAGAAAGUUCUGGACACUCCCCUCACCCUCUCUGCCAUCUCUGAAACAUUUUUCAAAUUAUGGUGCUCUAGCAUUAGUAUCAUCUAGAAUUCAUGAAAAAUGAAAAUUCUAGAGCCCCACACCAGACUUAGCAGUCCAGAGACUCUGGUUCUGAGUUCAGUGUUUUCCCAGGCUUUGCCAUCGAAGCAGAAAGCUGCUCAUUUAAGAGAACCUCAUUGGCUCUCCAGCCUAAAACUCUGAUCUUACAAAUACUACCAAUAUUACCAACAUGUAUUACUAUGGGGCCAAUGCUUGGCUCAGCAGACUUCCCACAGAAGGUUACAGCUUUGGUCACAGCCUCUCUGAAAGGCACGGGUGGUGUGAGCUGUGAGCAUUCCAGCUGAGCUGAGCUGAGCCUGAGCUGGGUGAGCAAUCCAGCUGACUCCACCUCUUACCUCUUCAGCCACAAGAGGGCUUCCGUCGCCGAGUUCCUAACCUGAGCGACGUCAGCCUCCACCUCAUGCAGCACUAUCUUCUGGAGGGUAGUAAACUCUUCCUUGUUGGUUAUGUACUUCUGAUUUACCUUCUGGAAACAAAACAAAACAAAACAGGGCAACUGUGGCAGCUGGAAACUGUGACAUCACCAGUACCGUCAGUACAGAAUUCAAAUCUACAAGCAACAAGACUUCUAGGAGACCAAAGUCAACUUGACUAUCUUUCUUGUUUUUAGGGUAAUGUAUUUUAAAAAUUCCAAAAAUUCUGUGAGCUUUAACAAACUCCAAGAGUCCCAAGCUUUAAGCAUCAUUCUUGGGGUACCAUUGCCUCCCUUAGAAACUGUCUUCUGUUUCAAACUACUUCUCAUCCUGAGCAUGCACACACGCGCACGCACACACACAAACCCAUCACUUGUAUGAGUGAGAGCCCAUGUACUUCUUUCUCUCUCUCUCCUAACGUCCCAGGAACGGUACUCACAGAACUUCCUCAACACAUCACACCUAGUGAUGAGUACUGUGUUUUAUUUUAUUUUAUUUUAUUCUAGAGACAGGUUCUCUCUACCCAGCCCUGUUGCCCUGGAAACUCAAUCUGCAGAUAAAAUUGUCUUUGAAUGCUCAGAGAUCUUCCUGCUUCUGCCUCCCACGUGCUGAGAUUUGCAUGUGCCACUAUGCCUGGCUUAAAAAGAGAUUUAAUUCACAAGUGCUAGAUGUAAUAUACACAACUUUCACUUUUCUGGGAAGGAGGUUGAGAGUUCCUAUUGUUGAUGGCCCCACAGCUAGCUGUACCAGGAAUUUGGUCUUCUGUAUCCCAGACAAAUGAUAGCUAUUGCCAACCAACAUAGUUUUUUUUUAUUAUUGUUUAACCCCAAAAUGCAUAUACUCAUUGCUGACAUGGCUCCCCACUGAUCCAGUGGUCAGCCUACUAAAGGCUUGCCUCUCCUGCAUAGCAGUUAUUCCUCUACUCAAACUUCCCAGUGUGAAUGAUUCCCCCUCUCCUUUAUAUUCACCUUAAUAUUUCCAACAAGAUCCAUCUUAACAGGAGCAAACACUGUGGGACCAAGUUUGUCUG
rnacentral:lncRNA from 1 species